rnacentral:tRNA from 1 species
GCCUUCGUGGUGUAACGGUAGCACAUUCGACCCGUAUUCGAGAAGUUCGAGUUUGAGUCCCGGCGAGAGUU